UACAGAGGUCCCAAGCGUUGUUCGGAUUCACUGGGCGUAAAGGGUGCGUAGGCGGUCGGGUAAGUCUGGCGUGGAAUCUCCAAGCCUAACUUGGAAACUGCGUUGGAUACUAUCCGGCUCGAGGAAUGGAGGGGAGACUGGAAUACUUGGUGUAGCAGUGAAAUGCGUAGAUAUCAAGUGGAACACCAGUGGCGAAGGCGAGUCUCUGGACAUUUCCUGACGCUGAGGCACGAAAGCCAGGGGAGCAAACGGG
rnacentral:rRNA from 1 species